GGCCUCCAAUUCUUACCACAGAGGCUGUGUUCUUUACACUGACUGUAUAGAAAAAGGAGGUACAGUAAAUGCAACCCAUAUAUACCUCAACCCAGGCCCUUUGCCUGGUCUGUAUUGUGAAUUGGGGGGGACAAAA